UUUUUUUUCGUUUUUA
rnacentral:sRNA from 1 species